rnacentral:antisense_RNA from 1 species
AAUAACCAAAUAUCACGCUCGGGCUAAGGGUCAAAUUGGUAAUUUUUCUUACAUCUCCUCCCCCGGGUGCCCAUGUAUCAUAUACGCCUCCAAAAUAAAGGGCCUUGAGUACUAGAAGAAAAGCACCUAUACCUAAUAAGAUUAGGUGAAUGCCCAAAAUUGUAGUCAUUUUAUUUCUAUCUUUCCA